rnacentral:lncRNA from 1 species
GGUACUUUUGUAAUUCAAACAUUUCAAGACCCAACCAAACACCAGAAACCGUUCCCCUUUAGAGCCAUUUUGGUCCACACCUAAUUCAAGGUGGACCUGUUCUGAAUUCCAAGCCACACUCACUGACUCAACUUACAUUAAGCACCUACGAUAGACCAGGCACUGGAAAUGAACUGGUGAGACCCAGUUCCCGUCCUCAAGGAGCCCAGCCUGGCAAGAGUCACCAGCACACCAAGAAAUGUGGCAGAAACUCUGGGGCGCAUGCCAAAAAGGGUGUAGAAGGGACAGAGGAGGAGAUGCUAAGUCAGACAGGCAGGAUCUGGGAAGGCUUCCUGGAGGAGGAGGUAUUUGAACUGAAAUAUUUAAUGGACAAGCAGGAAUUGCUCGAGUGCACAAGGGGUAAGGAGUCCCAGGUGCACAUGAAGGUGCCACGGGGACAGCAGAUCAGCAG